rnacentral:rRNA from 1 species
GAUGAACGCUGGCGGCGUGCCUAAUACAUGCAAGUCGAGCGAACGGACGAGAAGCUUGCUUCUCUGAUGUUAGCGGCGGACGGGUGAGUAACACGUGGAUAACCUACCUAUAAGACUGGGAUAACUUCGGGAAACCGUAGCUAAUACCGGAUAAUAUUUUGAACCGCAUGGUUCAAAAGUGAAAGACGGUCUUGCUGUCACUUAUAGAUGGAUCCGCGCUGCAUUAGCUAGUUGGUAAGGUAACGGCUUACCAAGGCAACGAUGCAUAGCCGACCUGAGAGGGGGAUGGCCCAACGGGGAACUAAGCGCGGGCCAGUCCCCCACGGGGGGGAGCAAGGGGGGAUUCUUCGAGAAGGGGGGAAAGCCGGAGGGAGCAACUCGGCGGGGGGAGUGAGGGUUUUGGGAUCGAAAAACUGUUUAAUGGGGGAAAAAAAUAUGUUAAGGUAAGUGUGCACAUCUGGGGGUUACCUAACAGGAAGGCCAGGGCUAAGUCGGGC